UCACCAUCCCUGUAUACGGAUGGUCACAUCAUCUUUCUUAAAGAUUAUGAAUAUAUGAUUUCAUCUGCUGUGAACUUUAGGGUAAUUGUUGUGUUGAGGGGCAGAUGACAAUGUCGAAGGGGACUAAGCAUUGAAAGGUUUAUCUACCAUAGACUCGGAUGAGAGAACUUUUGGAUAGAAAUACUAAAGGCAUGUUUGGUUGCCUUCCAUAUUACCAAACUUGUGUCUCAAGUCUGGCAAGCCCCAGUCUUGUGGUUUCAGCUUGGCAAAAGUUGGCUAACAAAUGAGACUGUGAUAGGUGGGUUAAGAAUCUAAUAAAGGGUGGCAGUUGACAAUUGUGUCUGCAACCAACAACUGCCAAACUGUCUGUCUAAUGUUUUGUAAUAUUUGGCUACAAACAAAACAUGCUCUGAUUAGGGUUGGCUUGAUUGUGUUACACUAUAUGUGGAUUGCACUAGCCCUUUCCUUAGUUCGGACUUUUGGUUGCGUUGGCUAGUGCAUGAAGCUUAACAUGGGUAUUAGAGCCAGGUUUUGAGUUCAAGUCCUGGCUUUCGCAAUUUAUUUAAAAAAAUUGCCGGUAGCCCCCCUUUGUGUCCACGUAAAGGCCUCUUGAGUCAUACGCGAGUUUCGCGCGCCGGCGCUCUCUUCCGGUUGCACGUGUUGACUUGUCUUCCCGUCACACGCGAGAGGGGGUGUUACAGUAUAUGUGAAUUGCACUAGCCCUUUCCAUCAGUUCGGACUUUUGGUUGCGUUGGCUAGUGCAUGAAGCUUAACAGAUUGGACCCCUCACACAAAUCUUAGUGUUACCUUAAAGUACUCCCUCCAUUCACAAAU
rnacentral:lncRNA from 1 species